rnacentral:rRNA from 1 species
GCUGGCGGCGUGCUUAACACAUGCAAGUCGAACGUAAAGGCCCUGCUUUUGUGGGGUGCUCGAGUGGCGAACGGGUGAGUAACACGUGAGUAACCUGCCCUUGACUUUGGGAUAACUUCAGGAAACUGGGGCUAAUACCGGAUAGGAGCUCCUGCUGCAUGGUGGGGGUUGGAAAGUUUCGGCGGUUGGGGAUGGACUCGCGGCUUAUCAGCUUGUUGGUGGGGUAGUGGCUUACCAAGGCUUUGACGGGUAGCCGGCCUGAGAGGGUGACCGGCCACAUUGGGACUGAGAUACGGCCCAGACUCCUACGGGAGGCAGCAGUGGGGAAUAUUGCACAAUGGGCGGAAGCCUGAUGCAGCAACGCCGCGUGCGGGAUGACGGCCUUCGGGUUGUAAACCGCUUUCGCCUGUGACGAAGCGUGAGUGACGGUAAUGGGUAAAGAAGCACCGGCUAACUACGUGCCAGCAGCCGCGGUGAUACGUAGGGUGCGAGCGUUGUCCGGAUUUAUUGGGCGUAAAGGGCUCGUAGGUGGUUGAUCGCGUCGGAAGUGUAAUCUUGGGGCUUAACCCUGAGCGUGCUUUCGAUACGGGUUGACUUGAGGAAGGUAGGGGAGAAUGGAAUUCCUGGUGGAGCGGUGGAAUGCGCAGAUAUCAGGAGGAACACCAGUGGCGAAGGCGGUUCUCUGGGCCUUUCCUGACGCUGAGGAGCGAAAGCGUGGGGAGCGAACAGGCUUAGAUACCCUGGUAGUCCCCGCUGUAAACGGUGGGUACUAGGUGUGGGGUCCAUUCCACGGGUUCCGUGCCGUAGCUAACGCUUUAAGUACCCCGCCUGGGGAGUACGGCCGCAAGGCUAAAACUCAAAGGAAUUGACGGGGCCCCGCACAAGCGGCGGAGCAUGCGGAUUAAUUCGAUGCAACGCGUAGAACCUUACCUGGGUUUGACAUGGAUCGGGAGUGCUCAGAGAUGGGUGUGCCUCUUUUGGGGUCGGUUCACAGGUGGUGCAUGCCUGUCGUCAGCUCGUGUCGUGAGAUGUUGGGUUAAGUCCCGCAACGAGCGCAACCCUUGUUCACUGUUGCCAGCACGUUAUGGUGGGGACUCAGUGGAGACCGCCGGGGUCAACUCGGAGGAAGGUGGGGAUGACGUCAAGUCCUCAUGCCCCUUAUGUCCAGGGCUUCACGCAUGCUACAAUGGCUGGUACAGAGAGUGGCGAGCCUGUGAGGGUGAGCGAAUCUCGGAAAGCCGGUCUCAGUUCGGAUUGGGGUCUGCAACUCGACCUCAUGAAGUCGGAGUCGCUAGUAAUCGCAGAUCAGCAACGCUGCGGUGAAUACGUUCCCGGGGCUCGUACACACCGCCCGUCAAGUCAUGAAAGUUGGUAACACCCGAAGCCGGUGGCCUAACCGUUGUGGGGGAGCCGUCGAAGGUGGGACUGG